rnacentral:tRNA from 1 species
GCGCCCGUAGCUCAGGGGACAGAGCGUUGGCCUCCGGAGCCAAAGGUCGCAGGUUCAAAUCCUGCCGGGCGUACCA